UACGUAGGGCGCAAGCGUUGUUCGGAUUUACUGGGCGUAAAGGGCGCGCAGGCGGCUCAUUUUGUCAGGCGUGAAAGCCCCGGGCUUAACCUGGGAACUGCGUUUGAUACGGAUGGGCUAGAGUUCGGGAGAGGAGAGUGGAAUUCCCAGUGUAGAGGUGAAAUUCGUAGAUAUUGGGAAGAACACCGGUGGCGAAGGCGGCUCUCUGGACCGAUACUGACGCUGAGGCGCGAAAGCGUGGGGAGCAAACAGG
rnacentral:rRNA from 1 species